GACCAGUGUGGUGUAGUGGUUUGGGUGUUGGACUAGGACUCUGGAGACCGAGGUUCAAAUCCCUGCUUGGCCA